GAUGAACGCUGGCGGCGUGCCUAAUACAUGCAAGUCGAACGCUGGAGAUCUAGCUUGCUAGACCGAAGGAGUGGCGAACGGGUGAGUAAUACAUAAGCAACCUACCCACGAAGACUGGGAUAAUCUCUGGAAACGGGGACUAAUACCGGAUAGGUAAUCGGAAGGCAUCUUCUGGUUAUUAAAGGUUAAAAACACUGGUGGAUGGGCUUAUGGCGCAUUAGUUAGUUGGUGAGGUAACGGCCCACCAAGACGAUGAUGCGUAGCCGGCCUGAGAGGGUGAACGGCCACAUUGGGACUGAGACACGGCCCAGACUCCUACGGGAGGCAGCAGUGGGGAAUUUGCGGCAAUGGGGGCAACCCUGACCGAGCAACGCCGCGUGAGUGAAGACGGCCUUCGGGUUGUAAAGCUCUGUUGUAAGGGAAGAACGGUAGAUAGAGAAUAUCUAAGUGACGGUACCUUACCAGAAAGCCACGGCUAACUACGUG
rnacentral:rRNA from 1 species